UACGUAGGGUGCGAGCGUUGUCCGGAAUCAUUGGGCGUAAAGAGCUCGUAGGCGGUUAGUUAAGUCUGCUCUUAAAGACCAGGGCUCAAUCCUGGGAGUGGAGUGGAAACUGGCUGACUGGAGGACGUCAGAGGAAGGUGGAAUUCCCAGUGUAGCGGUGAAAUGCGUAGAUAUUGGGAGGAACACCAGUGGCGAAAGCGACCUUCUGGGACGAUCCUGACGCUGAGGUUCGAAAGCUCGGGGAGCAAACAGG
rnacentral:misc_RNA from 1 species